rnacentral:rRNA from 1 species
GGAUUCCCUUAGUAACGGCGAGUGAACAGGGAUUAGCCCAGCACCGAAGCCUGCGGCCGUUUGGCUGCUAGGCAAUGUGGUGUUUAGGUCGGUUCUUGGCAUUACUGACUUAUCCCAAGUCCAGCAAUGAGUACGGCUUUUUGGAGUGGCCCAAAGAGGGUGAAAGGCCCGUGGGGAUUUGUUUGGUUUUGUUCUGAGCUGACCAUGGAGUCGGGUUGUUUGUGAAUGCAGCCCAAAGCGGGUGGUAAACUCCAUCCAAGGCUAAAUACUGGCACGAGUCCGAUAGCGAACAAGUACCGUGAGGGAAAGUUGAAAAGUACUUUGAAGAGAGAGUAAACAGUGCGUGAAACCGCUCGGAGGUAAACGGGUGGAGUUGAACUGCAAUCCAUGGGGAUUCAGCUGAUGAACGUGGUAUGCGCUUGGGCAUUUUGGUCGUCCUGUGUGGUCCGCUUAGUGGCGGGUUUCUGCUCUUUGAGUGGGAAUGUGCGAGGCACUUGUUUUGUGCUGUAUGCAACACAGGUUACGGGCUUGUUCGUCAGUGCACUUUCUCAUGGUGUUCACCACGACCGGUGUUGCUGUCUGUCUGCUUUGGUUAAACUGGCCAGGCUUGGCCUAUUGGUCAGACCUGGUCGGGAUGGCAGGUAGCUCAUUGAUUCUUGUCGGUCUUGGCUGGCCUGAGUCUUUGGGUGUAAUUAGCUGGCUUUGGCAGAUCUGUGCAGUGCGCCGGGGCUUGCGGCUUUGGUGUGUGCAUGCGUGCUGUGGCCUUCCGACGGGAUGGGUUCUGGUUGGUAUUUACCUGCCUUGGUAGGUGGGCUGAUGUCCCGGUCCCGUUGGGUUGGCGGUUGCGCGUGUGACACUUGUUUGGGCCUAUAGUCUGUGGUGUAGUGGUAAACGAUCCACCUGACCCGUCUUGAAACACGGACCAAGGAGUUUAACAUGUACGCGAGUCAUUGGGCUUUACGAAACCCAAAGGCGCAWUGAAGGUAAAGGUUCGGAAU